rnacentral:rRNA from 1 species
AUUGAACGCUGGCGGCAGGCUUAACACAUGCAAGUCGAGCGCGAGGCGGACGGGUGAGUAAUGUCUGGGGAACUGCGUGAUGGAGGGGGAUAACUACUGGAAACGGUACCUAAUACAGCAUACCCUCAGGUGUGCCCAGAUGGGAUUAGCGAGUAUGUGGGGUAAUGGCUCUCCUAGGCGACGAUCCCUAGCUGGGCUGAGAGGAUGACCAGCCACACUGGAACGGAGACACGGUCCAGACUCCUACGGGAGGCAGCAGUGGGGAAUAUUGCACAAUGGGCGCAAGCCUGAUGCAGCCAUGCCGCGUGUGUGAAGAAGGCCUUCGGGUUGUAAAGUACUUUCAGCGGGGAGGCGUUACCCGCAGAAGAAGCACCGGCUAACUCCGUGCCAGCAGCCGCGGUAAUAC